ACUUUUUCUCAAAGUAUAUUUUAACUGUGAAAACAAAAACAACAACAACAAACCAUUCACAUUCUCUGUGUAUUAUGGUUUUUGAAACCAUCAGUCUUUUGGCAGUAAUUCAAUAAAUGUGCUAUCGCCUCUUUAAAACCAAACCAUCAAAAUGUGCUUGAAAUUGCAGCUGUGUGCUGGGUGUUUUCUGAUUUUCUUUGAAUUGGUCUGACCAUCCCCAUAAGCCAUGUAAUGAGAAAAGAAACCAGCAAACUGCUGAGAAAUAGUACAGAAUGUUCUUUCUGGUUGGGAACUCAUAUUUUUACAUAUAUCAAAAAAAAAUGGGGCUGUCAGCUGAAUCAAGGUUAGGCAAUCCGUAUACAGAAAUCAGAUUUUUCUUUGAUGCUUGCGGUCCUUGAAGAGUAUCAUCUGUUUUUGGUAACUGCUGACUUGAGAAGGUGGCAGUGUAUGAUUACAUCUGGAAGGACCAUGCCAGCAAGUCUGGUGUCCCCAUCUGUGACCUCCAGCACCAGGAUGGAAUCUUUGACUCGGCAGCUACCUCAAGAGGUACCACUGUUCACAUGUCGGUGUUCACCGUACACCUCAGCGGUUUCCAGCAACUCUACAGACACUUCCUCAGGCUGCCUGAUGGGGCUAUUGUUGAGGCAUUUGGUGAUAUUACUGGAAUAAGUCUUCUGUGUAAUGAAGUGAGCACAGCUCAGGAACACGUAAAUAAAAUGGACAGUAUGCUUCAUAGAUCUUCAGAUACCAAGUUGAAGAAGAGAAAGAGGAGUGUGGCUAGGUGGAAAGGAAAUCACGUUGCUUCCAAUAAGAGCUAAUUCCUGGAGGACUGCAUAGUUCACAGAAUUAUUUACACCCUGAUUUACAUCCAUACUAUGAUUACUGUCUGACAGGAUUUAUGGUUCUGAUGUCCACACUUCUGUGCAUACAGAAUUGUCCUGCAAAUGCACCAUUCAUUACUCUUCUAUAGCUUCAACUAACGUUUCACUGUGGGGAGCUCAUUGGAUCUGUUCAUAGAUCUGAUAUCUAGUAAUUUUAUAAGACUUUUCCUUCCAGAUAGUGGGACAUUCCCACACUUCUCGGGUUUGCUUAUACCUGCUUUCCACUGUAGUGGUAGGGAAAAUGUUGCUGAUUUCUUUCAAGUUUCAUGAAUCAAACAUUGCUGGUGUUUUCAGUAAUUGUUCAAAAACACAACACUAUAGUAAUUGCAAGGUUACAAAGAUUCCUAGAAAAGGAGCAAUGAUGGCUUCAUGCCAUGAAAUACCACAGGUUCUGAAGCCAAGUCCCAACAGGCUGCGAAAUUUAUGAGAUCCCAGAGGAGAACAUCUUGCUGGGGUCUUAAUGUUAAUCAAACCUACUUCUCUGGAAGUUACAACAACUUAAAGCCUCACGUUUUCUUAUCAGUAUUCAAGUAUUUCUCAUUAGUUUGAACCAGUCAGUGCCUAUUCUAUUUGGCUUCACGCAACUGCAUAAGAAACGGAAGUCCAUGCCCCAAGGCAAGGACUACAAAAGACAGCAGAAGGAGAUGGUGGGAAGAGGAACAGAAGCAAAAAAGGUGAAGUCAUUCUUCCAAGGUCAUGGAAGUCAGCAGCAAAUGAAGAAAUAGAUGGCAGACAGCCCAUGCCCUGACUCCUGGUAUUCCCUGUGCUAGAAUCCUUUUUGUCCUAAAAAUUCAGACAGAAAAAGGAAGAGUCUUAGUUUUCUGCAAUUUUGAAUCAUUCAUGUGGAACAGUUAGUUAAUCAAAUAACAUAAGUAUUGGUGACAUUUUUCCAACUAGUAUGUUUUUCUGGUGUCUGUGUGUUUACACUGAUCUGUAAAAACUUUUUCAGAUGCACUUAACUUUGUAAGAUAUAUCCUGAUGUUUUAAACAUUGUUGAUUAAUUUUGUUAUGUACAUCUAUGGUUCUUAUCCAUCUGAAUAAUUUUUAAAUGUUGUUAGGUAGCAACCUGGAGAUUUAAAUGUCAAUCCUGAAAACACUAUUUCUUUGGGUUUGCAGUGUAAUGAUUUGGUUUCCAUUUUUUCCUACUUCUAAUUGACUUGUGAGCGUACAUGUGUGUGUGUUACAUUAUGAAAGAAUGGUGUUAAAAUUAUUCUGAAUACCUAUAAGCAGUGAUUUAAUUGCUGUGGGUUCUAUUGCAUCAGGUAUCACUUGGAUAGCUUCUGUCCAUCAUACAGGAAUAAAAUUGCCUUAUUCA